rnacentral:rRNA from 1 species
GGAAUAUUGCACAAUGGAGGAAACUCUGAUGCAGUGACGCCGCGUGCAGGAAGAAGGUUUUCGGAUUGUAAACUGCUUUAGACAGGGAAGAAACAAGACAGUACCUGUAGAAUAAGCUCCGGCUAACUACGUGCCAGCAGCCGCGGUAAUACGUAGGGAGCAAGCGUUAUCCGGAUUUAUUGGGUGUAAAGGGUGCGUAGACGGGAAUUUAAGUCAGCGGUAAAAAUUCGGGGCUCAACCCCGUCCGGCCGUUGAAACUGGGGGCCUUGAGUGGGCGAGAAGAAGGCGGAAUGCGUGGUGUAGCGGUGAAAUGCAUAGAUAUCACGCAGAACCCCGAUUGCGAAGGCAGCCUUCCGGCGCCCUACUGACGCUGAGGCACGAAAGUGCGGGGAUCGAACAG